CCACCAUCCCGAGCGGCCGAGAGACCUGGAUCGUUGACGCCGCAGCAACCCUUACCUGCUAUGCAGGAGAACGGGUGCUACUGCCAGGAGCGAUGGAGU
rnacentral:ncRNA from 2 species